UUCCGUGGUUCGUUUCGUUUCGUUCGGCGCGUCGUUCUAAGGAGCGGAGGAGGUCCAACCCGGAAAGAGAACAUCGUCAGUGGCAGACCAUGGUCGACCCCGCCCGCCCGCCUGACUGCCCGCUCCCCUACCCGCUACUACGGGCUCCGCCGCCACCGCCCCGCCGGCGGCUCGGCGACGACUUCUCCCGCGCCACGGCUGGGUUGACGGGGCCCACGUCCCACCUGUCCUCCUUCCUCCUCUCCCUCCCCGAGGGGCAGUGCCUCGAGACGACGUACACCGAGCAGUGGUAGACGAGGAGCAACGGAUAUGUCAUGCACAAAGGGAAGAACAUAAAAUACUAUUCUCUGGACUUGUAACGAUUUCUUCUUCUUCUAUAACCUAAAAUACGACCAAAACAACCACGAAGUAUAUACGAACCCUCUCGUGAGUGGAGACAUUAUACCCCUCAACACCGACUAUUCAUACCCUCCUUUGGUCAAGAAGAUUAAUGGGAAAAAAGUCAUUAAUAGAAGUUAUGUGAGAAACCUGAGUCGAGAUCAAUGACCUACCGUAAUUGGUGUUCUCCAGACGAACCCGACAACAGACCAUACGAACCUGGUUACUUCCAUGAAUGUACACGUACCCUCACGAAAAGAGAGUCCAUGAUCUUGGCAGGUAGCACAAAAACAUCGAAACACAAUCUUAAGUUGUCCGUGUAUUUUUUUCAUCUAGUUGAGCUCUACGACUUAAAAAUACACCUUUUGGGAACGCCUUUGGCGUCUACGCGCCGUCACGAGUGGAUAUAGCUCUCACAAUGUUGGUGGUCUGAUUGUUCCUCAGCAGUUGUGUGUGUAGGGCACGCCGAAUGUUGUCCACAUGCAUCCACCGCCGGUACGUCGAGUUCAGUUUCGCCUUUAGGUUAGGCGAUACUUCUUGGGUAUUGUUAUUAAAAUUUGAGCAAGUCGUUAAUUUAUAGGUAGUACACGGCUUUCAGAGAACCUGUAUUGUAGUUAAUUCGUACUCGUCUCGAGUUUGAAUCAUUAUCCUUGACCGAGCAGUAGUAUAGUCGUACUAAUAGUACUUACGAAUAGAACGUAUGGAAGUGUAAUGGACGACCGGAGACAAGGCCAUCUGAGACCGGAGAAAUGAAAGUUAAACUUAAGUAUAUAGUUGUGAAAGAACUGGUUGACGAUUCUAUUGUGGCCAAGGAUGAGAAUAAAGUCAUCUGAAUUAAAACACCACAAGAAGGUGUUCUCUUGCUUCAAGGUGUCUAAGUCAACAAGCACUACGUGUGACACCAAUCGAACAAUCGAACAAAACCUACUUCAAACAAAACAUAAUCAUUAGCUCCAGAAACAUUGACCCUACCAACGUGUGGUCUAUUUAAAGUCGGUUGGUCGAUCACAACCGUACCACGUGAUACAAACGUAAUAGGUUUUAUCAUAUUGACGGGUGAUACUGCGGUUAUUUUGUUUUACUUAAGUGUUCGAUCUUCAGUACUCACUCUACCACUACUAAUAAUCCCAUUUUUUCAUUUUAUAUACUGACCUAAUGUAACACAAGCUGAGUAAACACGGAAGUCCGAAUACGAAGUCUUCAUACAGCCUUUCUUGUGUCAGUGAACCGUAAUAGUGAGCAUUCUACUAGUUCAACAAUAAAGCUUAAGAAGAAAAUGAGUGUCAGGGUUGAAAUAACCUGGUACUAUGUUUGAGUGUAUAAAGAUACACGACCCAUUAGGUAGUCUACAGGAGGAGUGCACCGUAUCCAGAAUAACAACCUGGUCGGUAACCACCAAUAGAACGUGUCGGACGUCUAUUUAUAGGUCCGUAUAAGAGACAGUUGAGGUAUAAACCUUCCAAAGGCAUGAAAGAGGGAACAGAAACAUAUAGUGAGGAACGGUAACGGCGACAUUAACGAACGAAGACCGAAGGCCUUUGAAACGUAUUUGUGUGACUUCUGUGUUACAAUUUAUCAAGCUGACUUCGACAACUUCUUGGAACAAGACUAAAUUUACGACUUGUUUCACCAUCACCGACAGAGUCAAAUAAGUGUUUGACCGGUGACUACAGGUGAUAGUGACAUAUGACGUAAAAGAGAGAGGUCCUGUACCGAAUACGUCUCCAUAAAAGCGAAACCCGACAGUCACUGUCUUUUAUGCCACCUGAUUCGAAAAGAAGAGUUCUACACCCAUCCCAGGAAAGUUAGAGUCCAGAGAAUGAGGAUUAUAUAGUUUAAAACUAGAUAGGUAACCAACGUUUGAGACAUCUGGGGUAGUGUAAUCAGGCACGUUAACGCGAUAACUGUUAUGGUGAAGAAAGCUCGAUAGGUAAGUACGGACGUAAUAGUCCCAGGUAAGAAGUCAACCGUGAUUUAACACGCAGAAAAGACUUCUUGAGAAAGAGUCAUUGAUGGUACUGACACAAGUUGUAAAAUUACUUACUACGACACUCAGUCCUGGAUUCUCGGAGUCGGUUACCGGAAAGACACUGUGAUUACAGGUAGAAAUUUUGAUAGCGAGGUCGACAACGUCCUCAAUAUAAGAGUACCCGAGUCUCCGCAGUUUAUCGAGGUAAAGAAGGUCCGCUGGUGAACCACAAGAAAUACGACUUACACAAGUGCCAAUAGCCAGAAUACGAGUGGAAGUCUGGCAAGAUGCGAUCUUUACCGUGCAGCUUAGUAAUUACAUCACUGUGGUAUGUAAUCCUGGACCUGUUCCUGGUUCUAGAUUGUCAAACCGAGAAGCGAUAAAAUCGCCGUGCUAGAAGGUAUAAUGCCCAAGAAAGAACUUCACGGAUGUGAAGUAAUCAAUGGUUGUUAAAAGCACCAGUCAACUGGUUCAUCCAAUAGUACUCUGAAAUUCUAUAACCAUUUCCAAAACGAGAUGAGCCAAACUCGCCAGUAUUUUCGCAGCUCCCAGAGAAGUUGACUUCCAGAUAAUGGACACGAACGGGAUAUUAAUAAACUACGAGGAACCAACCAACCAAUACCACCAAAUCCUAUUAAUAAACUUCGUAUUAAAACCAAGGAGUUUAACUCCAACAUUAAUAAUACUCGAUACUCCUAUUGUAAAUGGAGAAGAAAUGGAAACUAGUACGGUUAGUCAAGUAGCUAAAAAA
rnacentral:rRNA from 1 species